rnacentral:lncRNA from 1 species
GAUAAAUUGUAUGAAUAAUAAGAGUAGCUUGUGUGAUUUAUCAAGAACAAAGAGAAGAGAGAACUAGGGUUUACUAAGGAUCCGAGAGAGAGAGAGAGAUAAAGGAGAGAGAGAGGUGAUUUCGAAAAUGUGAGAGAGAAUAAUGAGGAAGUAUAUUUCCUUACUUCAUUUGGUACAUGAUACAUGAGUAUAUAAAGAGAGACAAAGAAGCUAUUGCAUCUAGGGAAAAUAUUAAACAAAGAAUCCCAUAGAACUAAUAAACUAAUCUACUCUUGGACUGGUAUGCACAGAUUGCUCAGCCUGAUAAUGACAGGUCCUAACGGAUGGAAGGGACUUUGAAUCCUUAACCAGACCCGUGACAUUGCUUCCCAAUGUCUCUCCACUUCCCAUUGGCGACCAAAGAUAUUCUUCUUGCCAUCUCUCUUCAUUUCAUCAGUUCCCUUUGCAUAUCUUGCACACCAAGGUAGGGUAGAUUGUACGGACAGUCUUGCAUUGCAAGGUAAGGAGAUUCUUUGCUUAAUCGGAUCACACUGAUGAUCCUCUUGCUCCUUACUGCCUUCUCUCAAUAUACUCAACUCUUAUUGCUUCAUGUCAACACUCCCCCUCAAGCUUGACCAUGGAACAGGUCAAGCUUGUACACCAUGAAGCAUUCCCUCAUUAAAACCUUUAGCUUGAGAAAAACCACAUGGGAGAAAACCCAAGCCAAGGAAAAAGAGUAGAACACUCCACGGUUGAGAGUGUUAGUGGCAAGAGAGGUCUAUGAGUCCAAGUUUAGGAUGGAUGAACUCACAAACCUUGCUACUGGCUGCCUUGGUGAAUAUGUCAGCUAGUUGAUCUUCACUUCUUGUGUAACAUGGAAGAAUCACUUGCUGCUCUACUGCUUGUCUCACCUUGUGACAGUCCACUUCUAUAUGCUUAGUCCUCUCAUGGAACACAGAGUUUGAUGCAAUGUGUAUUGCUGCCUGAUUGUCACAAUGCAUAGUCAUUGGCGUGGAGAUCUCUAUGCCCAAGUCCUUUAGCAAACCCUUGAUCCAUAUGAGUUCACUAGUAAGCUUCCUCAUAGAUCGGUAUUCUGCCUCAGCACUUGAGCAAGAGACCACCUUCUGCUUCUUGCUCUUCCAUGUGACUAGGUUUCCUCCAAUAAAGGUACAAUAGCCUGUGGUUGAUCUCCUAUCAACUCUAUCUCCAGCCCAAUCAGCAUCACAAUACCCAACAACUUCAGUACUCUUGUUGCAAGCCAUCCAAACUCCCUGACCUGGGGCUUCUCUUAAGUAUCUCAAGAUCCUUUCCACCAUGUUCCAAUGAUGUACCUUAGGAGCUUGCAUGUGUUGACUCACUUGGUUCACAGCAAAACACACAUCCGGCCUGGUGAUAGUGAGAUAGAUGAGCUUCCCAACCAUUCUUCUAUACCUCUUGACAUCCUCAAAGGGAGUUGCAUCAAACUCCCCCUCACGCAUAACCUUGUAGCCUUCUUCCAGUGGUGUCUUGGCCAAUCUUCCUCCAAGGUCUCCUGCCUCCUUUAGGAUGUCCAAAGUAUACUUCCUUUGGGACAUAAACAAUCCCUCCUUUGAUCUGCACAUCUCAAUGCCAAGGAAAUAUUUCAGUUCUCCUAGAUCUUUGAUGUCAAAUGCGGCCUUGAGGAAUGUCUUAGUUGAGCUGAUCCCUUCCUUGUUACUACCAGUGAUGAUGAUAUCAUCUACAUAGACCAGGAUUACAACAAUUCCUUCCUGGCUGGUGAGAGUGAACAGUGUGUGAUCCGCUUGAGACUUCACAAAGCCUCUUCCAUUCAGUGUGGUGCUUAGCUUGUGGUACCAAGCUCUUGGUGAUUGCUUCAAGCCAUAAAUAGCCUUCCUGAGUCUGAGGACAUUCCCUGGUUUUACCAUCUCUUCCAUUCCGGGAGGUGGCCUCAUAUAUACUUCAUCUUCUAAUUCACCUUGCAAGAAUGCAUUCUUCACAUCCAUUUGCCAAAGAUCCCAUUCUAGGUUCACUGCCAAUGAGAGUAGGAUCCGGAUUGUAUGGAGCUUGGCCACUGGUGCAAAAGUGUCUAGGUAGUCUUCUCCAUAUACUUGUGUGUACCCUCUUGCCACCAGUCUGGUCUUUUUCCUUUCUGGCUUCCCAUUUGCAAGGUACUUGAUGGUGUGUAUGAGUCUGCUAGUCACAGCUUUCUUCCCUUUUGGAAGCUCUGUCUCAUACCAGGUGUUGUUCCUUUCCAUGGCCCCCAUUUCAUCAUCCACUGAGUUCCUCCAUUCAUCAUCCUCCAUAGCUUCUGCAUACGUUUUUGGUAUCCAUUCCUGGUCCAAUGAGCUCACAAAGGCUUGAUGUUCUUCUGGAUACUGAGCAAGGGUGCAUACUCCACUCACUGGAUGUGCCACGGCUUGAGCAUUGUAGUAGAUCCUUGUCUUAACCCAAUCUGAAGCCGGUCUCCUGAUCCUUGUACUUCUUCUUAGAGCUGGUGUCUGCUCAAGUUCACUAUCUUGAGCUUCAGUUUCUGGUUGCUCCAUCUCAUCUUGAUCAUGAGACAAUACUGAGUUUUCUUCAUGUUGAGCUUGUGCAGGUUGUUCUCCAUUGCCCCCCUCAUGAUCAUGAUGAGAGACUUCAUUGUCGCGUACCUCAGCUCCAUCAGGCUGAGGAGUGGUGUCCCGGCCCUUCUCUGGUUCCCUUGGUAAGUUGAUGCCAAGUCUUUCCAUAAGAACUUUCAGAUUGUUAGCUCUGUCCGAGGCAGAAUGAGAUAGAUCUUUGAGUUCUCCCCAACUCUUCUCAUCAUAGUAGGCCUUGGAUUCCAUAAACUUAACAUCUCUGGAUACUAGGACUCUCCUUGUCUCUGGUACAUAGCAUUUGUACCCUUUCUGAUGUGUAGAGUACCCAAUGAACAUGGCCUUUGUGCUCUUUGCUUCUAGCUUGUUCCUUAGUUCUCCUGGAAUCAAAACAAAACACACACACCCAAACACACGCAAAUGGUCAAUGGAUGAUCUAGAUUUGUUUAGUACCUCAUAGGGAGUGGCAUCAAGGAGGACUCUUGUAGGUGUGCGGUUGAUUAGAUAGGUGGCCGUGACCACGGCAUCUCCCCAAAAACGCUUAGGUACAUUGGCAUGGAACAUCAUACUCCUCGCCACUUCCAUCAAGUGUCUAUUCUUUCUCUCAGCCACUCCAUUUUGUUGAGGUGUAUAAGGACAGCUAGUUUGUUGAAUGAUUCCAUGUGAGGCUAGGUGUUGUUUGAAGGCUGUGCUAGUAUACUCACCACCAUUAUCUGAUCUAAGAAUUUUGAUCUUAACAUUGAAAUGGUUAGUAAUAUAGCUUUGAAAGUUUUUAAAAGCUUCUAGCACUCUAUCCUUAGAUUGCAACAAAGUGAUCCAUGUGUAUUUAGAUUUUUCAUCAAUGAAUGUCACAAAAUAUUUAUGGUGCUCUCUAGAUGCACAUGGGGCAGUCCAUACGUCAGAAUGGAUGAGAUCAAAGCAAUUAUCAUAUUGAGUUUUUGAUUUAGGAAACACAGUUCUACAAUGUUUUCCUAAGAUACAAGCCUCACAAUCACUUUUAAAAGAAAUGCUAGGCAACAGGAUGUUCAAGGCAUGAGAAUGAGGAUGUCCUAGUCUAGCAUGCCAUAUUACAUCUUUAGGGAAUUCAGAAACAGAAUGAAAGGCAGGAAAUAAAUCAGUUGCAGGUCUUGUGUCCUCAAGCAAGUACAAGUCUCCCUUGGUAACACCUUUGCCAAGCAACUUACUAGAAUCAAUAUCCUGAAAGUACACACUGUUAGGCGUGAAUGUAACUUGACAAUUGAGAUCAUUAGUUACUUUCUUAACAGACAAUAGGUUUGAAGCAAAGGUGGGCAUAUAGAAAGCCUUAGUUUCUUUAUCAAACAGUCUAAGAUUACCUACACCUUUUAUUGGGAUUUUAUCUCCAUUUGCUAUCAUCACAUUUCCUAAGGCUGGUUCUAUGUUUUUAAUCAGUUCUAAAUCACUUAUCAUGUGAUGGGAAGCACCAGAGUCUAUAACUAAGGGCUUAGCCGAUUUAAAAUCUUUCAUAGGUCCAUCAGCAGUAUGUGAAGCAUUAAGAGAGACACCAAGGGUUUUAGAUAUACCAGAUUCCUUUAGAGCCUUGAUGAGAGCUGUUAAGUCAGACUUCUUGAUGGUCUCAUCCAGGUUGGCUCUUGGCGUGGCAUAGCCUGAUGUGGAGGCAGUGGCACUUCCCACACCUAGGUUGCUUAUACCCAUGGUGAUUGGAGUUGUUGGCUCAGCACCAUCAGCUGAGAAGUUGGCCCUUGCAUCUUGGUAUUGAGAGCGAGUCUCCCUGAACUUGUUGGGCUUAAGGUGGGGAUGGAGUAUCCAGCAUUUGUCCUUCAAGUGACCCUUCUUCUUGCAGUGGUCACAGGUCAGGCCUUUCCUCUCAUCUUGUUUGUAAGCUGCCUUGUUUGCCACUGCUUGUUCUGCUUGAUGCGCCAUGCUUAAGUCUCCCUUUCCACCAAACAAGCCCACUGAGCCUUCUUCCUUCUGGAUUUGAGCACACACUUCAUCCAGGUCAGGUAGUUUGUCAGCUCUUAGGAUGUGCUUGAUCAAGCUCCCAUAAGAUGGGUUAAGAGUGAGCAGCAGUCCAAACACUCUGUCCUCUUCACGCCUGGUUAGGAGAGUGGCAUGGUCAGUGGUGUGUGGUCUUAGCAGCUCCAUCUCUGCCCAAAGAGACCUGAACUUGCCAAAGUGUGGUUGAAACUCCACAUCCCCUUGGUUGAGUGCAUUGAUGGCUCUCUUCACUUCAAAGACUCUUGUGAGGUUGGAGACGUUUCCAUACACUUUGUAAAGUGUAUCCCACAGCUGUUUGGUAGUCUCACAGUAAGAGUAAGACUCCAUGAUGGCGGGUUCAAGAGAGCUGAGGAGCACUGUGAGAACCAUGAGAUCUUCCUGUGCCCACUUGUCUUCAUCAGCUACCACCAUCUCCUGUCCAUCUUCUCCUUGGGUGGUUUGCUUUGGAGCCGCUUCUGUUGAGACAUGACUCCACAAACCCUUUCCUCCAAGGGCAAUCUUCACCAUCCUGGCCCAUAAGAGGUAGUUAAUCCCCUUCAGAGUCACAGGUAUGCUAAUGCGGUUGUUGUUGUUGUUGUUGCUGUUCUCCAUCUUGAGGAUUCAAAGGUAGGAUCUUGGUGAAGAACAACGAGAAAAGAAACAGAGAUUUGUUUUGCGGAAGUAGAUAAAGGGUUCAAGAGCUUUGUUGCUCUGAUACCAUGAUAAAUUGUAUGAAUAAUAAGAGUAGCUUGUGUGAUUUAUCAAGAACAAAGAGAAGAGAGAACUAGGGUUUACUAAGGAUCCGAGAGAGAGAGAGAGAUAAAGGAGAGAGAGAGGUGAUUUCGAAAAUGUGAGAGAGAAUAAUGAGGAAGUAUAUUUCCUUACUUCAUUUGGUACAUGAUACAUGAGUAUAUAAAGAGAGACAAAGAAGCUAUUGCAUCUAGGGAAAAUAUUAAACAAAGAAUCCCAUAGAACUAAUAAACUAAUCUACUCUUGGACUGGUAUGCACAGAUUGCUCAGCCUGAUAAUGACAGGUCCUAACGGAUGGAAGGGACUUUGAAUCCUUAACCAGACCCGUGACAUUGCUUCCCAAUGUCUCUCCACUUCCCAUUGGCGACCAAAGAUAUUCUUCUUGCCAUCUCUCUUCAUUUCAUCAGUUCCCUUUGCAUAUCUUGCACACCAAGGUAGGGUAGAUUGUACGGACAGUCUUGCAUUGCAAGGUAAGGAGAUUCUUUGCUUAAUCGGAUCACACUGAUGAUCCUCUUGCUCCUUACUGCCUUCUCUCAAUAUACUCAACUCUUAUUGCUUCAUGUCAACAGUUUGAAUCAAGCAUCUUUGACUACACAUGCCUCUUAUCCUAGCUAGACUGAACCUGGACGAAAUUAUGUAUCCCUAAUCUAUAUGUGUUGUAAACUCUCUCAUUAAUCAAUCUAAUGGAGUUUUGAGCCUCUCUCUCUAUUCUCUCACUAAAAUCUCUUAAUCUCUUUAAUCUUCUCAUCUGAUUAUCCCUGAUUAGUUGAAUCAUGCUCUAAUACACAAAAGUGUAUAUGGUAUCAGAGCCAGGUUGCGCAAAGUGGGAGAGUGUGAUUCCUUUUUCUUAAAAAUCUUGAGUGUUCUUGAGUGUUCUUGGUGUUCUUAACUUCUGGGUUUCAUUAUCUUGGUG